rnacentral:rRNA from 1 species
AAUGAACGUUGGCGGCGUGGAUUAGGCAUGCAAGUCGAGCGAGAAGCCCCUUUCGGGGGGUGGACAGCGGCGUAAGGGAGAGUAACGCGUGGAUACUUGCCCCCAGGUCCGGGAUAGCUGCGGGAAACUGCAGGUAAUACCGGAUAACAUCUCCGGAUCAAAGGUGUGAUUCCGCCUGGGGAUGGGUCCGCGUCCUAUUAGCUUGUUGGUGGGGUAAUGGCCUACCAAGGCGAUGAUGGGUACCGGGUGUGAGAGCAUGGCCCGGCUCACUGGGACUGAGACACUGCCCAGACACCUACGGGUGGCUGCAGUCGAGAAUCUUCGGCAAUGGACGAAAGUCUGACCGAGCGACGCCGCGUGCGGGAUGAAGGCCUUCGGGUUGUAAACCGCUGUCAGAGGGGAGGAAAUCCUAGGGGGCAAUCCUCCUAGGUUGACCUAUCCUCAGAGGAAGUACGGGCUAAGUUCGUG